GUAGCCUGCAAGGUUCAUGCCAACAGAACAACCCUUGGAAAAUUACACAUUCCAGCGCAUUGUUUGACUCACAUGCUUAAGGUUCCUGGCAUCUGCAGGAUUCUAUUUUUCCCUCUAGUGCUCUUGCAGCAUGUAUUCUGUCCAUUUGAAAGAGCAGCUUGUCUCUAGUCCUCAGUAGAUGGUUGCUCAGGAUAACUAACAUAGAUCGCAGAACUACGACCCAAAAUACUGCUGGAAACUGUAACUAAAACAGAACAUGUGG